rnacentral:rRNA from 1 species
AACAUUGUUUAUAGCAAAAAUAUUAUAAAUACAUCCUGCCCAGUGAAUUCUUCAACGGCCGCGAUCACACGUGCAAAGGUAGCAUAAUCAAUUGUCCUUUAAUUGGGGACUAGAAUGAAUGGAUAAAUAAAAAUUAAUCUAUUCAAUUUUUAAAUAUAUAAAUUUACCUUUAGAUGAAAAGGUCUAAAUAUAAAUAAAAGACCAGAAGACCCUAUAGAGCUUUUUCUUAAACUAAUUUAUAAUUAUAAAUAAGAUUUGGUUGGGGCAACCUAGGACUUAACUUCCUAUUAAUAUAAUGAAAUAUAAAUUACAGCUAUUAUAAUAAAAUAUAAAGCUACCUUAGGGAUAACAGGCUAAUUUUAUUUUAUAGUUCACAUACACAAUAAAGUUUAGCACCUCGAUGUUGGCUUGGGGUAACUUUUAAAUGGAGAAGUUUAAAACAGUAGGCUUGUUCAGCCUUUAAAACCUCACGUG